rnacentral:misc_RNA from 1 species
AUUUUGCACAGGGGCGCUCGAUUAUCGAAGCUCAUAUACAAAUCCUCUCCAUUUUCCUUCUGAAAUUGUUGCUGCGUUUGCUCUCAGUUACGUGGUGAGGAUGUCGACACCGGCGAAGAAGAGAUUGAUGAGGGAUUUCAAGCGGUUACAGCAGGAUCCUCCUGCUGGCAUCAGUGGUGCACCUUAUGAUAGCAAUAUAAUGUUAUGGAAUGCUGUUAUAUUCGGCCCUGAUGAUACUCCCUGGGAUGGAGGUACGUUUAAGAUGACACUUCAAUUUUCAGAGGAUUAUCCUAACAAGCCACCAAGAGUGCACUUCGUCUCCAG